rnacentral:tRNA from 1 species
AAGAAGGUAGCAUAGGGGUUGUGCAGUUAGCUUGAAACUAACUUAUGGUGGUUCGAGUCCAUCCCGUCUUG